UGGGGAAUUUUGCGCAAUGGGCGAAAGCCUGACGCAGUAACGCCGCGUGGAGGAUGAAGGCUCUAGAGUCGUAAACUCCUGCCUGGGGGAAAGAUUGUGACGGUACCCCCAAAGAAAGCCCCGGCUAAUUCCGUGCCAGCAGCCGCGGUAAUACGGAAGGGGCAAGCGUUGUUCGGAAUUAUUGGGCGUAAAGGGCGUGCAGGCGGUCUCGUAUGUCGACUGUGAAAUCACACGGCUCAACCGUGUUAAGCCGUCGAAACUGCGGGACUUGAGGCUGGGAGGGGCUGGUGGAAUUCCCUGUGUAGCGGUGAAAUGCGUAGAGAUGGGGGAGAACACUCGUGGCGAAGGCGGCCAGCUGGACCAGUUCUGACGCUGAGGCGCGAAAGCGUGGGGAGCAAACAGGAUUAGAUACCCCCGUAGUCC
rnacentral:rRNA from 1 species